GAAUCUUCCACAAUGGACGAAAGUCUGAUGGAGCAAUGCCGCGUGAGUGAAGAAGGCUUUCGGAUCGUAAAACCCUGUUGUCAGGGAAGAACAAGUAUGAGAGUAACGGCUCGUACCUUGACGGUACCUUAUUAGAAAGCCACGGAUAACUACGUGCCAGCAGCCGCGGUAAUACGUAAGUGGCAACCGUUGUCCGGAAUUAUUGGGCGUAAAGCGAGCGCAGGCGGUCCUUGAAGUCUGAUGUGAAAGCCCACGGCGCAACCGGGGAGGGUCAUUGGAAACUGGGGGACUUGAGUACAGAAGAGGAAAGCGGAAUUCCACGUGUAGCGGUGAAAUGCGUAGAGAUGUGGAGGAACACCAGUGGCGAAGGCGACCACCUGGGCUCAUACUGACACUGAGGUGCGAAAGCGUGGGGAGCAAACAG
rnacentral:rRNA from 1 species